rnacentral:rRNA from 1 species
CUUAAUAAGUCGGGUGUGAAAGCCCACAGCUUAACUGUGGAACUGCAUCCGAAACUGUUAAGCUAGAGUUCGGAAGAGGCAGGUGGAACUGGUGGUGUAGGGGUAAAAUCCGUAGAGAUCACCAAGAAUACCCAUUGCGAAGGCGACCUGCUGGGACGAUACUGACGCUGAGGCGCGAAAGCGUGGGGAGCAAACAGGAUUAGAUACCCUGGUAGUCCACGCCCUAAACGAUGGAUGCUAGUUGUUGGAGUGCUAGUCACUUCAGUAAUGCAGCUAACGCAUUAAGCAUCCCGCCUGGGGAGUACGGCCGCAAGGCUAAAACUCAAAGGAAUAGACGGGGACCCGCACAAGCGGUGGAGCAUGUGGUUUAAUUCGAAGAUACGCGAAGAACCUUACCUGGGCUUGACAUCCCAAGAAUCUCUUAGAGAUAAGAGAGUGCCCCUUCGGGGGAGCUUGGUGACAGGUGCUGCACGGCUGUCGUCAGCUCGUGUCGUGAGAUGUUGGGUUAAGUCCCGCAACGAGCGCAACCCUCGUCCUUAGUUGCUAACAGUUCGGCUGAGCACUCUAAGGAGACUGCCCGGGUAACCGGGAGGAAGGUGAGGAUGACGUCAAGUCAUCAUGGCCCUUAUGUCCAGGGCGACACACGUGCUACAAUGGCGCGCACAAAGAGACGCAAUACCGCGAGGUGGAGCAAAUCUCUAAAACG